rnacentral:rRNA from 1 species
UCAAGCUAUAAAGAGCGUAGGGAGAAUGACUUGGCAUCAGGAGCCGAAGAAGGACGUGACAAGCUGCGAAAAGCUGCGGUUAGGAGCAAAUAUCCAUAGACCCGCAGAUAUCCGAAUGGGGAAACCCGGUACGGCAAUACCGUAUCACUGCAUGGUAAAUACAUAGCCAUGUGGAGGAAACCCUCUGAACUGAAACAUCUAAGUAGGAGGAGGAAGAGAAAGAAACAUCGAUUUCCUAAGUAGCGGCGAGCGAAAGGGAAAGAGGCCAAACCAGAGAUAGCAAUAUCUUUGGGGUUGCGGACUGCGUAAUUGAUUCAAUAUUUUUAGCAGAAGUGUAUGGGAAGACACACCAUAGUAGGUAAUAGUCCUGUAAGCGAAAAGGAUAUUGACAAGGCAGGAUCCAGAGUACCACCGGACACGAGGAACCCGGUGGGAAGCCGGGGGGACCACCCCCCAAGCCUAAAUACUACCUGAUGACCGAUAGUGAAAAGUACAGUGAUGGAAAGUUGAAAAGAACCCCGGAAGGGGAGUGAAAAAGAAUCUGAAACCCUAUGUUUACAAGCUGCUAAAGCACUUUAUAUGUGCGAUAGCGUACUUUUUGUAGAACGGUCCGGCGAGUGUAUGUUGCAAGCGAGGUUAAGGUGUUAAGCACUGAAGCCGAAGGGAGACCGAGUGUGAAUAGCGCGUACAGUUUGCAGUAUACGACCCGAAACCGGGUGACCUAACCAUGGACAGGUUGAAGUGGAAGUAAAAUUCCAUGGAGGACCGAACCCACGUCUGUUGAAAAAGGCGGGGAUGAGCUGUGGUUAGCGGUGAAAUUCCAAUCGAACUCGGACAUAGCUGGUUCUCAUCGAAAUAGCUUUAGGGCUAGCCUCAGGAUAGUUUAGCGGAGGUAAAGCACUGAAUGGGCUAGGGGGCUUCACGGCUUACCGAACCCUAUCAAACUCUGAAUGCCGCAUAAAUGUUUCCUGGGAGUCAGACUGCGUGAGAUAAGUUUCGUAGUCAAAAGGGAAAGAGCCCAGACCUACAGCUAAGGUCCCUAAAUGAAUUUAAGUGGAAAAGGAUGUGCAGUUGCGUAGACAACUAGGACGUUGGCUUAGAAGCAGCCACUCAUUUAAAGAGUGCGUAAUAGCUCACUAGUCGAGUGAUUGUGCGCCGAAAAUGUAACGGGGCUAAAAUUCAUACCGAAGCUUAGGAAUGAUAGUAAUAUUGUUGGUAGAUGAGCGUUGUGUAAGUCUGCGAAGCUACACCGAAAGGAGUAGUGGAGAUAUCACAAGUGAGAAUGCCGGAAUGAGUAGCGAGAAUUAUGUGAGAAUCAUAAUGGUCGAAAAUCUAAGGUUUCUUGAGGAAGGUUCGUCCGCUCAAGGUAAGCCGGGAGCUAAGGCGAGGCCGAGAGGCGUAGUCGAUGCACAUACGGUAAAGAUUCCGUAGCCACCGAAGUCGUUAAAUACAGGGACACAGGAACAUAGCCUAACCCCACCGUUGGUUGAGUGGGGCGUAAGGGAGCGAAAAUUAGUAGCGAAGUAGGUGAUUGUACACUGGCGAGAAAAGCUGUAUGGAUUGACAAGGUGCCCGUACCGCAAACCGACACAGGUAGAUGAGGAGAGAAUCCUAAGACCAGCGGGAGAAGUGUUGUUAAGGAACUCGGCAAAAUGACCCCGUAACUUCGGGAUAAGGGGAGCCUACGCGAGUAGGCCGCAGAGAAUAGUCUCAAGCGACUGUUUAGCAAAAACACAGGUCUAUGCUAAAUCGAAAGAUGAUGUAUAUGGGCUGACGCCUGCCCGGUGCUGGAAGGUUAAGGGGAAGUGUUAGAGUAAUCGAAGCACUGAACUUAAGCCCCAGUAAACGGCGGCCGUAACUAUAACGGUCCUAAGGUAGCGAAAUUCCUUGUCAGGUAAGUUCUGACCCGCACGAAUGGCGUAACGACUUGAGAGCUGUCU